ensembl:lncRNA
GCCAAUUGAAAUUCAAAACAGUUUUCGCUCCAAAUGCUUUGGGGAGAUCUGCUGCAAAUAAUGGAUGUAAUUUAUUUUUGACCUUGCAUUUCUAUUUUUUUUGGGGGGGGUUAUUAAAUGAUUAAACACAUAUGCACUAUGCUAUUUGACUAAACAAAUGGCAUCCUUGGCUUUUAUUGUUAUUAAAGCACAGAAGUCAUUUCCCCCCUUUUAUCUUUGCAUUAUGAAUAUGAAUGGCAUUAUUGUUGUGUUAAUAGUUUUUAUCUUCAGCUGAUAUAGUUACACAGCUGUUUUCUAAAUUUGUGUGUUUUUUAUUUGUUGAGGUCCAUGUUGAGGAAGUCUUCCAAUGUCACCAAGCAGUGAAAUGCACCCCCCCCCCAAACAAACACACACACACACGUACACUUAGCUGAAUCUGACCCCAAUUACAUUUAAACAAAGUCAUAUUUUACGCUCAGUUUUGCAUUAUUAUAACAUUUCUUUUAUUCAACUUAAAUUAGCAUUCUCCUGGUUUUCGGGAUGAUUCUGUUCACACUGAAAGCUUUAGUGUUUUAACAGGUGCAUCUCAGCUUGCUCAUGGGCUGAUACACAAAUCGUGAUUUGAUGAUUUUACUUGACUUUGAAAAAUGACACAAUGAGCCAAUAUGACUUUGAGGAGAGGGAAUCCAUUUUCUGAUCUCCUCUCGGUUCUCUUGAUCUCUUUUUUUCUUUUAUUGACCUGAAUGAAGACGUAUGGAGCAGAAUUGUGUGUUCGGUUGACUCCUGAUGAGGCCUGUCUGCCUCCCCCCCCCUCCCCCUUUCUCCCUGCUCCCCAUGAUCCCUGCAAGGCUGAGUGGCAGGGCUCUGGAUUGGCUAAGUGAUGAAAUGAUGACCCUAUUAUGAGAAGCGACUCCAAAAUGAGAGGUAUCAGAAGAAGAUUGCACCAUUCUCUCACUGCAACGCCGUCCUCCCGCACCAGACUGCCGGCUGCGCAGAUGAUGAUUGAUUCGCUCGAGAUGGAUCGCAGGAAGCACCCAUUGAUUUCCCAGUGUUUUAUCAAAAAUAUUUAUUUACAUUUGUACCCACAGCUUCACCCGCGACCCGCUAUUCCAAAUGAGGGAUGUUAUAAAAAGGAUAAUUCUCCCUCCUCCACGACAAGACAAAUUACCCGUAAUAUUAUUAUUUCAGAAACGAGCCAAUAGCAUCAGUGACUAAAUGGAUAUUGACUGCAGCUCGUAGUGUGACUGUGGCCUCCUUCACCCUGCUGCAGACUCCAGUGUCAGCAUCUACACAGUGAUGCCAAACCUCCCGAGUGUUUAACACACAAUCCAGGCCUGCUCUCACAAAACGACAACCGCAUGUAUCUCAGAUGGUGAAUCCGCCUACUGAAGGCUGCAUGCAGGCCGGUCGUUGGCCUGGUCAGAAAGACAUCGUGGCACCGUCCCAGGGUGGAGGCCUCGCCCACGCGCGCUGCCCUCGCCAGCCCCCACAAGCCGUUGUGGUGAACCACUGACCGUGCUACUCCCCGUUUUCCCCCAGACCGGCAAAUAAUGUGUCAGAAAAAGAUUAUUGAUAGAACGUAAAAGAAGAGUUGUAAUGCCUCUCGGCUUCAACUUUCGAGAACAAUACAAGUGCUAAACCGUCACUUUGAGCGCAUUGCUGCCACUGAAAGAGCGCAGCAUUUAUUUACUGUUUACUUUCGUUCUAUUUGGGAUAAAAAUGAGCUACAACUGCAACACGAACAGACAACAAUGACAUCUAUUUUGUGUUGUUUAAAAAGCCGCUUUUUCUUUUUUCCUUUUACAUGUGAAAACCUCUUUGUGGGAGGUUGGCAACCUCGUCGUGGGUGUUUUCAAAGGAGAAACCGAUUUUUUCAAAAGGAACAUUUGCAUUCCCUGCCUGCUCUGUUGAGUCAUUCACACUUUCUCCCACUUUACCAAACGCCGGCGAAGCUGAUGCUCUUCCGGCCUAAAUGUGGCGUCAGGCGGUGAUUCUCGGACACACACGAGGGACGCUGUAUUUACGGAAUUAACGACGCACUCCAUCCGCGCGCACACAGCAGCUGCCGGCUACACUUAGCUGAUUGAGACUGCCGGCCAACGCUGGCGUCGGCAGAGCGCCGUGAUCGAACAGUUGGGCCGCCCUUCUCUCCUGAAAAUCAACGCGGUGACGCGACAAUGCAAAAAAGUGAACGCUGCGCUCGGGCAGGUUGACUGUGUUUGGAUCGCUCGCCACGGGCCCAACCCCCUUUUUGCUCAUCGUUUCACUUUCGAUGUCGAUAGUGUUGAUCGUUUACACAGUUUCCCUUUCACAAAGACGGUGCAUGGCGCGCUGCAGAGAUGGAGCGUGCUUGUGCUCAGCAGUGAUGCCGGUAAAUGAGAGAAGGCACUACUCAUUCAAGUCGGUGUGUGUAUACACCGCGCUGUGUUUUGCUGUAAAGUGUGUGUUUAUGUUCACUGCAGGCAUAAUUCACAAUGUGUGUUAAAGGGCUCCAGGCCAUGCAGACACACAACUGGCAAACUAUUUCUCCCCAUUGUGAGAACAAGAAGAGAAAAUCUAAGUAUGGCAAACAAAACGCACUUUUUGAAGCUACGUAUGGAUAAGAAAGUGCAAAAAUAAAAACCUGAAAAAGCGUUUGAAUUUCUGUGUCAUUGCAAAAAAUCUAUUUCACACUACAUUAUGUUUGUUGCUGUACUCUCAGUCAAAUCCAGAUGCCAGUAACUUAUUCAAAGCCAGACAUAAGCAGCAUAUCAUAACGUAUAAUAGGAAUAAUGGCCCUUUGAUAUUUGGAUUUCCUAUUGGAACACCUGUCACUUUUUGGCAAGGGCACACCCCAGCACCAGGUCUCCUUUGGUAUCGCUGGGGGAGGAGUGUAUGCAUGUGUGUGUGUGUGUGUGAGUAUAAGUGU